AUUGAACGCUGGCGGCAUGCCUUACACAUGCAAGUCGAACGGUAACAGGUCUUCGGAUGCUGAGGAGUGGCGAACGGGUGAGUAAUACAUCGGAACGUGCCCGAUCGUGGGGGAUAACGAAGCGAAAGCUUUGCUAAUACCGCAUACGACCUACGGAUGAAAGCAGGGGACCGCAAGGCCUUGCGCGAACGGAGCGGCCGAUGGCGGAUUAGGUCGUUGGUGGGGUAAAAGCUUACGAAGCCGACGAUCUGUAGCUGGGCUGAGAGGACGACGAGCCACACUAGGACGGAGACACGGCCCAGACUCCUACGGGAGGCAGCAGUGGGGAAUUUUGGACAAUGGGCGGAAGCAUGAUCCAGCCAUGCCGCGUGCAGGAUGAAGGCCUUCGGGUUGUAAACUGCUUUUGUACGGAACGAAAAGACUCUGGUUAAUACCUGGGGUCCAUGACGGUACCGGAAGAAUAAGCACCGGCUAACUACGUG
rnacentral:rRNA from 1 species